AAGUAUUUGAGGGCGGUGGCUGACACCUGUCACGCAUCAGUGCUGGAGACAACGUUCCCAGGGCAACUGUUUGCCUCCCUCGUUCAAUUGCUCCUCAUACGAGAGCCCAGCACACAGCUGGAUGUGGCCUUACUCUGGCAUCGUCUCGUAGAUCACCAUGCCAACAAAGACAAGAUUCCUCUCAACACGUGAUGCUUAGAAGUCAAAGGCAGUAUCUUACAAUUGCAGUGAACCGAGUGCAGACUUGCUAUGGUUAACUAACUAUGUUUAAAAAAACCUUUCACUUUUAUAUCCUCAUCGUUUGUUUAAUACAAUUUUAAUACUGUAUUGAUGUAUUGUUGUUUGUAAUGUUUGAAAUUGAUUUAGCACAAUACAA